GGUUAUUAUUGGCUAAGGGAUGGCACUGGGCUAACCCUGAAAAUACCAGGUCUUUUGUACUGAUCCCUGGGGAGGAUUGUGGAAAGCAGAGACCUGGUAUUUUCAGGGUUAGCCCAGUGCCAUCCCUUAGCCAAUAAUAAC
rnacentral:miRNA from 1 species